GCUAAUGACUUCAUAAAGCAUUACAAAGUAAUAAAAUCAAGAGAAUGAAAAGAAGAGAAUGUGAAAUAAAUAUCUAUUAGAAAAACUGACCUGGGAAAGCAGAUUGCAGAGAGAUAAGGUGAGAGACCAGACCCUUGAGAUGCAAAGACACAAAAGAAACGGUUCCUGCCCUCAAUGAGCUUACAGUGGAAAGAGCACAGGAUUUGGAGGGAUUCAAAUGCUUGGAGCUGGGAACAAAAGAAUCGGAUGGAAGGAUGAACAGGUGUAAACAAAUAACUAGCAGAGUGUCUUUGUGGUCCGGCCGUUAAGAAGCCCCAGCUGGAUGGCCCAGAGUCCCAGCUAGAAGGCCCUUCAUCCCCAAAGGAGAUUCCUCGCUCCAGGGACCAAACUCUCUCUAAUACAGAGCAGAGAGACUCCAGCCACCCAAAUCCUCCACUGUAUUCUCCAUAUUGAGAUGGUCAUUCAUCAACCUUGAUUACGGUGGUCCAAAUGUGAAAAGCAAUUGGCACCUCCCAUUACUUGUGUCCUUCCUCAGACAAAACCCAUCAAUCCUGUCUGGAACUCCUUGGGAGCCUGGUAUGUUGACUACUGAAGGGACCGCACUACCAGACUAAUACGAACUUAUUAUUCCAUUCCAGAAAGCAAACUUGCCCUUUUGACAAUAUGGUGAAGUGGUUAAUGUUUGCCUUUGUCGCCCUCUCUUCUCCCUCUGGGGUGCCUCUUUUUGUGUUCUCAUUCUCCUACCCUUCCUUCUAUCAAAGUCUCCUCAGCUGCCAAAUUCACACUAAGGUACAAAUGACUCAUAACAUUAUUGCCCCUCCUUAUUGUUGCAUUUUAAUGGGGUUAACCUACUUAACCCAAAGGAACGUGUUUCAGGCAUCCGUUCGGGCCCUCCUAGAGGCCUCCAAACUUUAAUACUUUGCCCUGAGGUUUGUAGAGGUCAGAGGACUUGUCUAAUAUUCACCUCUCCCCGACCCCCAACCCUCCAGGGCUGCGUGCAGAGUGCAGUGUGCAGUAAAAGCUGACAUUUCUGACAUAGCUCUCGUGAUGAUAAACCCAGUUGUUCUGCAGCCCUGGAGAAAAACACAUCAUGAGAAUGAAGGGAAGAUACACAUAUGUGUCAGAAAGGUCCUUACAGAAUUUUCCAGCUGGAAGAGAAUGUAGCAUGUGGGGGAAGGGGGGGAUGCAGUCUGGCAGUGAGACAAUCAUAGCCAUGGGAGCUAGAGUCCAUUCCCUUCAAGGGGUUCUAGGGCUGGGGGAAGCAUUCUUUUAGCUGUGGAGCAAGGUUAAAUACAGUGGGGAGCAGAGGCUUAGCUCUCAUCUGUAGGCACUUGAGGUCUGCUUGGCUUCAGAUAAGACAUUGGCAUUCCAGACUUCACAGCAGAAUGCAAAUCAUCCCAGAGGAAGAGCAAUAAACAAAUAUGUGCAUGCUGGGGAGGGAAGGAUUCAAUAUUAAUUAGCAGUAGGCCAUCAAUAUCCAGGAGUCAGCAGCCAUAUUUUGGCCUCAUGUCUACCUUGGAUGACAGGUGGCUGGAAGCAUUUCAAAUAUCUAGAUAGAUAGUUUUUUUAAUCUAUUCGAACCAACUUUGAUUCUUGACAAAGGCCAGCAAAGCAACAAGCAAUUUGCCAUUUUGUUUCCUGGCUUCCCCAGCACUCAGCCCAUCCCAACAACCAUGAGGGAGUCCUGGGACUUUGAGAGAGCUGAGGAGAAAGGGAAGAAUUGAAUCUCUUCAUCCCUGGAACUAUUCACCAGUGUACUGGUCUGGCCUUCAGUGCCACAUUUGGCAGAUGGUAAAAAUGGUGGCACACUUGACAGUAUCCAUUCACUGGCCCCUUGUUUCCUAUUGGAUUCUUGGCCUCUGACAUUAAAAUAUGCUGGCCAUAGAAAGAUAGGUGCUGAUGGGAGUGCAUGGGAAGGGUUCUAAAACCCCAUUUUUACCACCAUACAAAUCCAUUAUAACACUAGGUAAAGUCCUCUUAGAGGGCAAUAAAAGUCAACAGCAACUGUUCUCAUGGGCUUACUCAGAAGGACUGGGAUCAGGGUCAUGUGAAAGGGUCAUGAGGAUAUCAAGGUCAGAAAUGUAAUUAUUAUCAAUCACUCCUAUUCCUGGAAGAAGCAGUGUGCUAGGGUGACAAGAGGGAGGAGAUUAGAGUCAGGAAGACUUGGAUUCAGAUCCCAUCUUCAAUACUUACUAGCUAGGUAGCCAUGGGGAAGCUACUCUGACCUCCAGACUCUCUCUAAGACCUGAUUACUCAAUUAUAAACAAGUUAUAAUCUGAGUUGAUGGGGGGAGUUCCUAUUCCAAAUAAAUUUUUAAAAAAAUCCAUGGCCUUCCAAAAAAAAGGGAAAAUGACUUAUUUGUACAAAAAAUAUUUAUAGCGGCUCUUUGUGGUGCCAAAGAAUUAGAAAUUGAAGAGAUGCCCAUCAUUUGGGCAAUGACUGAAGAAGUUGUAUAUAGUUUGAUGGAAUACUAUUGUGCUAUAAGAAAUAACAGCAGGAUGGUUUCGGAAAAAACCUGGAAAGAAUUA